UGGGGCGUGGCCAAGUGGUAAGGCAGCGGGUUUUGGUCCCGUCAUUCGGAGGUUCGAAUCCUUCCGUCCCAG
rnacentral:tRNA from 10 species